GGGUGCACACUGGGCAUCUGGGAGUUUAUGACAUCACAAUGGGGCUGGUGACAGAGCUAGGGUGUGGAGGAGUGCUUAGGAGCCCAGCGAGGGUGCCUACAAGAGGAGUCAAAGGGCAAAGGGUGAGACCCUUCCACCGGUUCCCCUGGACUCUAGCCUCAGGGACGUCCUGCUCCUGGGGGCAGAUGAAAAAAUUGAGGCUCAAAGAAGUCCACCAAAUUGAGAGUGAAGUAGGGGAAACAGCAUUUAACGCUUACAUUCUAAUGAUUUGUGUAAGAGCAGCAGGACAAGCUAUACAAAGAAAAAGGUGGAAUUAUCAGGAUGGAAUUAAAGAUGCUUCCAAACAGAGGGGAUAUCUCAAGCCAUGACUCAGAGAGUUCUCCCCACAUUAUUAAUGGUAUGGGAAUUAGGAGAAGGUCAUCUGACUCACAUGGAUCACCAUAUAAUUCCUUCUGGAGAACAGAAAAAAUGCAGAAGAGGAAAACCUCCAUAUGUGAAGCUAUGGCAAGGGAGUCUCCCCACCCCGCGCUCCAACAGAGUCUGGAGAUAAACCCUCAGAGACUCAGGAUUCAUGUGGCUCCAUAAACAUGGCCCAAUCUAUUGUCAAACCAGAAUGGUAGAACUGAAAGCAUCUCCAAUAUAGAAACAUAUGGACUUCCAAACUUGUUCACUUGCUAUGGAAGCAAGAGGUGUUUAACUGAAGAUGCAGAAAAUUUCAAUUGAGGAAUGCUAGUCACAAUUAUACCCACAGCUGAUGAGAAGUAACAUCAGAAAUCUGCCGUCUGUUUCCUCCUUCAAUAUUUAAGAAUUUCACUUUUUAAGUCUUUUUGAUUUGAGAAAUAACAUGUUUAACUAUCGUUAAUAUUUGAAUGUCAUACAGGUGAACACACUGUUAUUUACAACUUGAUUUCACUCUGCCAUCAUUCUACUACCUCCAGACAAUUAGAAGCUAGGAGAAAUGUACAGGAUUAGUGUUCACCAAAACAUUUUAUUGAGACAACCUGCAUUUAAAGAAAAUAUUAUGAAAUUCUCAUUGUGCCAAAAUUUUUAAUAAUAUUGCAUAUUUCAUAAAACAAAACUCUAUAAGAGAAUAAAUAAGAUUUAGGAUUUUUGUGUAUUUUAGGAUAACCAAUGCUAUGAAUUAUCCUGAAUGAAAACCCUGGGAUUAAUCUAUAGCUAUUCCAUGUUUAAUUUGGUUAUUUCGGUAAUAUUUUAAAUAAAUGUCAUA
rnacentral:lncRNA from 1 species